rnacentral:piRNA from 1 species
UGUGUUUUACUACAAUACUGUCUUGCUUCC